GGCUCAGGAUGAACGCUAGCGGCAGGCUUAAUACAUGCAAGUCGUGGGGCAGCAUGAGUAGCAAUACUUGAUGGCGACCGGCAAACGGGUGAGGAACACGUACACAACCUUCCUUCAAGCGGGGAAUAGCCCAGAGAAAUUUGGAUUAAUACCCCAUAAUAUAUUUGAUAAGGCAUCUUAUUAAUAUUAAAGCUUCGGCACUUGAUGAUGGGUGUGCGGCUGAUUAGAUAGUUGGCGGGUAACGGCCCACCAAGUCUACGAUCAGUAGCUGAUGUGAGAGCAUGAUCAGCCACGCGGGCACUGAGACACGGGCCCGACUCCUACGGGAGGCAGCAGUAAGGAAUAUUGGACAAUGGACGAAAGUCUGAUCCAGCCAUGCCGCGUGAAGGAUUAAGGUCCUCUGGAUUGUAAACUUCUUUUAUAUGGGACGAAAAAAGGGCAUUCUUGUUCACUUGACGGUACCAUAUGAAUAAGCACCGGCUAACUCCGUG
rnacentral:rRNA from 1 species